ACUCAGAGAUCCGCCUGCCUCUGCUUCCCGAGUCCUGGGAUUAAAGGCAUGUACCACCACUGCCCGGCUGCCUCAAUAAUUUCAGCAGGAAUUGAGAAACCAUAUUGUGUUAUUUGUUACGAAGUUCUAUCAACCGAACAAACUAAAAUGCAAUUUUUGAUACCAAGCAUUCAAGCUUUGCCGGCAAGGAUACCAACUAUUUUAGAAGCAAAGUUGAUGGACUCAAAGCCAGACCUGACACUGGUGGCUAGUACCACAAACUAAACAUAGCAGCUGUUGAAGUUCGUAUUUGGUGGCACUCAGAAUCGCCAGAGCUAUGAAACCUCACAAUCUGCUGAGGAUUUAUUGUUGCCAGUGGCCAAAGACAGUAGUAUUCAAGUUAUGAUCAGAGAUGAAUGUGUUACACAGUUGAGUGCAGUUUCUUUAUCUAAUGACACUGUCCACAGAAGAAUGGAUGACAUGUCUGCUGACACUCGACCAUGUAAUCCAGGAAAUUAAAUCUUUAUUUGUAAUGUUUAGUAUCUAACCUGAUGAGUCUACAGAUGUUGCAAACUGUUCAGUUACUAGUUUACAUGAGGUAUAUUAAUGAUGGUGACUUUAAAGAUUAGUUUCUUUUUUGCAAUCCUCUUGAAACAGCAGCUGAUGUAUUUGACAUGGUUCAUUUCUGAAAGAGCAUAAGAUCUCAUGGGAGAAGGUUCGUGGGAUUUGCACAGAUGGUGCUCCAGCUACGCUAGCACAUCGAUCUGGGUUUCAACACUUGGUACUGAAUGAAUCACCGAAAGUGAUCGGAACUCACUGAUUCAUCAGCAAUUAUUAGCAAUGAAGAGGCUGCAACCAGAGUUACAAGUAAUGAAAGGCAUCGUUAAGUUCCUUCAAUUUUGUAAAGGAACUUGAAAUGACAUUGAACCAGACAAAAUGAUGGCAAUGAUAAUUUCUGUGAAAGAACACUUGUACAUGCUUGCAGACGACGAGAUUUCACCUUAUUUUCCAAAUCUGCCUGACCCCCCAGUUGCACUUGCCAGAAGCCCAUUCACAGUCAAAUUGAAGACGAUCCUGAGACAGUAUGAGAGAAAUCCAUUGAACAGUGAUGCAGCGAAAACUGAUUUCUUUCCGGUGCCGGUCACAAAAUCCUGAAUCAAGUGUUAGCCGUUGUACCCUGUCCUGCCGGAGACUGUUACAUCUUCUUCCAUUUCCACUAACAUAUCUUUGUGAAACAGGGUUUUUCAGCUUACUGGUUAUCAAGUCUAAAUACAGAGGUAGACUUGGGGAAGAUCUUUGUGCUCUUGCAAAGACUGCCCUGAGAAUCUUUCAUCUGGUGAGAAUGAAGCAUCAGUCUCUCACUGAGGUUGGCUUUUUGCACAUACAGCCACAAAAUGUAGCACAGUAGUUUACUGUUGUUAUGUUAAGACUUGGCCAGGCUACACCAUGCUUCAAGGCAAAACUUCAUUUAUUUGUAAUUAGAGCUAAAUAUCUCACACUAUAUAGCUAUAUAUUGUUUUGUAAUUAAUCACUGUGCUUUAGUUAUGUUCGAUUUGUAACAAUGAAAAUAACAUUCUGUGUAUCAGAUUUUACAUUGCGAUUCAAAAUGGUAGCAAAAUUACAGUUAUGAAGUAUCAGCGAAAAUAAUUUGAUGUUUGGGGGUCACCACAGCAUGAGGAACUGUAUUAAAGGGGUGCAGCAGGAGGAAGGGUGAGGAGCACCGCCCUAGAGAUUCUCUGAUCCCUGCCUCUGCUGGGGCUAACUCACUGUCAAUCCUCAGGGAUCCUCAAAAGCCCCUCCUCCAGAAUGUAGCCUCUUCUCUACAUUACCAUAUUAAGUCUGAAAUGUGACUGCCUCAGGGAAGGAAAACAGUUUGAACAAUUUCUGUGGGUGUCAGGCCGCCAGCCACCGGCUCUGCAUACCACUGGACAUGACACAGUGGAGUGACUAUGUUCUGGAAGCUAUUUAGAACUGGGAGGAGGCAGGUGGAUUUUCACUGCAAAGUGAUUUGCUUAGCUAACAUGCAUGAUGACUAAAAGUAAAGAUGUAAUCUGGACUUAGUAAAACUGACAGAUUGGCCUCUGGCUUUGAGUGAUUUUAAUCUGCAACAUGGAGAGUAUGUAUACUGUCGAUGCUCUGUGUUAUUUACAACUGCUUGCAUGGUUUUGUCUCUGUGAGCUAGAAUCUUGCCACUUGUCCUUCACUCCUCCUGAGUGGCUGGGACUACAAGUUUGUACACACCAUGGUGGCUGCUUAGUUUAGUUGGCUAACCUAGGCACAAAAAAAGAAAGAGUGUAUACCAUACAAACAGUAACAAAUUAAGUUUUCUCACGGUUUAGUAAGAAGGAAGAGUUUCAGUGCCCAGCAUUGUUGGUCUUAACUAGGAAAUUCAGAAAUGAUGUUGUAUAUGGACUAUAUGUGGUGAGUAUUGGACUAUAUGCGGUGAGUUGUGGACUCUAUGUGGUGAAUAUGGGACUAUGUGGUGAAUAUACAAUAUUCACAUAAUAGUGCUGAAGCAGAGAGCGGCUGGAGUAGGUGCUUCUGAAUUGCAUCUGGAAAACAGCCUCCUGGGUAAUCGUAGCCAGCAUAAUACCCAUUCCUUCAGAGAAGCCAGGGGGUAAGUGCUGGAGGUUGGUGUAUGUUUCAGGAAGGAUGCGCCCUUGAGUGCACACAAUAUGCAAAUGUUUGCCUAAAGUUCAUAUGUACAUAUGAAAUGAUGGGGGAAAUCCCAACUAACUAUAUUCCCUAGCCAAUAACAUGGUUUUUUUGUUUUGUGGGGUUUGGGGUUUUUUUUUCCCACGGUUUUUAUUAGUGUAUAAAUCUUUGUGUUGCUCUCGGGGCUGAGGAAACAAGAUGAGGAAAUUGAUACAGCAACAUGAACCUCACAGUAGGGAGUGUUUGGAGGAUGGAGGUGAUGGGUAGACAAUGGAUGGGUGGUCAGUGGUAGCCAGAAAACAAGUCCACUCCUAGACCAGGCAGGCCCUCUACAACAUCAUGUCUGUGAUGCCAACUGUUGUUUAAACCUGAAAGAGCUAGCAAUGACUGGGAAAGUCCCAUUCUGACCUGAAGAAAGGUUCCUGUUCUUAGGCUGAUAAAAUGCCCCUCUGGGGUAAAUGCAUUUAAAUGUCUUCUGGGUGCUGCUUGUCUGCCUAUGCUGUUGGAGCAGUGUUGGGAUUCAAACCCAGGACUCAUCGACGCUAGGGAAGCAUUCUAAUACCGAGCCUUAACCUCUACUUUUAGCCUUAUAGUGUGGAAAAUGGGUUGUUUGCUUGGGGAAGGAAAUCCCAUGCAUUAAACUGUUGCCCUAGAGUCUCAUAAAGCCAUGUUUAGACACGCACUGUCACCUGGGAAGACUUUGGACUCUGAGCACUGAAGAGGUAGACAGCUCAGUGUUAAGAGCACUUGCUGUCCUUCCUGGGGUCUUGGGUUCGGCUCCUAGAACCCACAUCUUGUGUGUCACAACCGCCUGUAACCGGGACAUCCGAUGUCCUGGCCUCUGGGCACAUGCACAUACAUAGAUUCAGAUACAUACAGCUAAACCUCUUCUUUUUUAUGUUGGAUCCCUUGCCCUUUGCUUGUUUUGUCUCCGAGUCCUGCUUGAAAUGGUGAUGCAAGGGAUAAACAGAACAAAAUGCCAAGAAGAGGAAACAAACUGCAUAAUACAUAUGCACGUACUUUAUGCCAGGUUGCUGGGGGCUGAAAGCAGGGCCUCACUGGUAUGCAAACACUACUACAAAGCCACCUCCAAAAGGACCAUUGAAUAUGAAAAUAUGACAAGAGGAGGAAGAGAACUCUACUGUAGGCACAGAGAUCCCCAGUUUCCAUUUACAGUGUGUGAGAUUUUAUCACCAGGCUGGGCUUGAACUCUCCAUCUGCCUCAGUGCUGGGAUUAUAGGCAAGCCCAGUACAAAUAAACAUCCUCAAGCCCUACCCUAGACCCAUAGAAUGGGUGCGGUUCAGCAAUUUCACACGUACGAUGCAGAGUCAAAUCCUGGCCAAAAAAAAAAAAA